AUGCCGGACAGCGGAGGCGCGACCGUGCUCGACGACCUCCCAGAGUGGAUCCUUGUGGAAGAGAUCUUCAUCCGUUUGCCGCCCAGGGACAUCGUCCGCUGCCGAGCCGUCCGCAAGUUGUGGCAAAGUGCCACCUCCACGGACAAGUUCAUGCUGGACCACCACCGCCGCCAGCCCUUCCUCCCGAUCCUCAGCCACGUCGUUGAACCGCAGAAAACCAGCCUCGUGUUAUCCUUUGACGCCGAUGCAGUCCAGCGACGGCUCUGCCCGGUCAUCCGGACCUUAUACUCCGGUAUACUCGAGGCUACGUGUGAUGGCCUCCUCAUCGUCUCCCACGGAGCCACAGCGCAUGAGUUCUUCAUCUGCAACCCGGUCACCCGCAAGUGUGCUCCCCUACGGACGCCUCAGAACCUACUGAACUAUUACUACCAGAUUGUCGGCUUCUAUCGGCACAAACCAUCCGGGCAGUACCGAGUGCUUUGGGUCUCUUGUCCGACAAACAACACAAAUCACAGAACUUUUUACUGUGUCAUAGCGGUGGGAUCCGAUUAUACAAGACAAAUCAGACAAGGAUGCAUCCGGCAACCAACAUCGUCAUCACCUUCCUUGGAACUGGCGUUACGUGAGCGGCUGCCCGGUUCGUCUGGCUAUCCGCCAAUCGACCACCGUGGCAGCUUGCACUGGACAAUUGUAAGAUACGACCGCUGUGAUGCCGGCUACAUAAUGGUGUUCAAGACAGCAGAUGAAACAUUCCGGUUGAUGUGCUGUCCAGCCCAGUUGCCCUCACAACAAUUGCUGUUGGAGAUAGAUGGCACUCUUGCUUUGUGUGGCAUCAGCAGUGAUAGAGUCACCGUAGAUGUUUGGGUGGUACAAGACUAUGACGCUGAAGCCUGGUCCUUCAAGCAUCGGAUUUAUUUAUCAGGGAUGGAUGAAUCACCAUUUGUUGACUUGAAGGUUCCUAGAAUGGCUGUGCUCAGUGAUGGUGAGCUGCUGAUCCAGUUUGCUCCUAGGCAUGUGGUUCGCUGUGACAUUGAUGGCAGAUUUGUAGAAUAUGUGAAAAGCGAAGAGGACCAAGGCAAGAACUUGUGGCUUACCCGGCAUCGCCUCCAGGAGAGCCUUAUUCCCCUUCCAUUAUCCAACGAGAUGCAAGAAGGAGGUGCUGCGAGUGUGGAGCCUCCAUUCUUCAUAGGGCUAUAG
rnacentral:rRNA from 1 species